AUGGGCGCAGCCUGAUGCAGCGACGCCGCGUGAGGGAUGGAGGCCUUCGGGUUGUAAACCUCUUUCGCCAGUGAAGCAGGCCUGCUCCUUGUGGGUGGGUUGACGGUAGCUGGAUAAGAAGCGCCGGCUAACUACGUGCCAGCAGCCGCGGUAAUACGUAGGGCGCGAGCGUUGUCCGGAAUUAUUGGGCGUAAAGAGCUCGUAGGCGGCUGGUCGCGUCUGUCGUGAAAUCCUCUGGCUUAACUGGGGGCUUGCGGUGGGUACGGGCCGGCUUGAGUGCGGUAGGGGAGACUGGAACUCCUGGUGUAGCGGUGGAAUGCGCAGAUAUCAGGAAGAACACCGGUGGCGAAGGCGGGUCUCUGGGCCGUUACUGACGCUGAGGAGCGAAAGCGUGGGGAGCGAACAGGAUUAGAUACCCUGGUAGUCCACGCCGUAAACGUUGGGCACUAGGUGUGGGGGGCCUUUUCCGGGUCUUCCGCGCCGUAGCUAACGCAUUAAGUGCCCCGCCUGGGGAGUACGGCCGCAAGGCUAAAACUCAAAGGAAUUGACGGGGGCCCGCACAAGCGGCGGAGCAUGCGGAUUAAUUCGAUGCAACGCGAAGAACCUUACCCAGGGCCUGAACAUGUGCCGGGUCGGCUCCGGAGACGGGG
rnacentral:rRNA from 1 species